rnacentral:rRNA from 1 species
GAGGAAGGUGGGGAUGACGUCAAGUCAUCAUGGCCUUUAUGUCCAGGGCUACACACGUGCUACAAUGGCGCGUACAGAGGGAAGCCAAGCCGCGAGGUGGAGCAGACCCCAGAAAGCGCGUCGUAGUUCGGAUUGCAGUCUGCAACUCGACUGCAUGAAGUCGGAAUCGCUAGUAAUCGCGGAUCAGCAUGCCGCGGUGAAUACGUUCCCGGGCCUUGUACACACCGCCCGUCACACCAUGGGAGUGGAUUGUACCAGAAGCAGCUAGCCUAACCUUCGGGAGGGCGGUUACCACGGUAUGGUUCAUGACUGGGGUGAAGUCGUAACAAGGUAGCCGUAA